rnacentral:rRNA from 1 species
CGGCGAACGGGUGAGUAACGCGUGGAUUAUCUGCCCUGAGGUGGGGGAUAACCCGGGGAAACUCGGGCUAAUACCGCAUAUGACCGUGAGGUCAAAGGGGGCCGCAAGGCUCUCGCCAUGGGAGGAGUCCGCGUUCGAUUAGCUAGUUGGUAGGGUAAUGGCCUACCAAGGCGACGAUCGAUAGCCGGCCUGAGAGGGUGAUCGGCCACACUGGAACUGAGACACGGUCCAG